AGGGGUGUAGCUCAGUUGGCUAGAGCGGCGGUCUCCAAAACCGCAGGCCGUGGGUUCGAAUCCUGCCACCCCUGCCA
rnacentral:tRNA from 1 species